CACAAAUUAAAUUCAACAUUCUAGGCAAAACAGUGCUAGUGUGGGUGUAAUUACAAAAUAUUUUACAAGACAGAUGAAUAUAAAAUCUAUUAGAAAUAAAAUACCAAUAGUAGGAUGUCAUGGAUAAGAUAUGGGUCGGAGAUAGAGGCAAGAUGAAAUGAAAGUGAGGGAGAAGGAAGGAAGAAAAAAAAAUUCAAUUCAAUGCUGCAUUCCGAUUGACUUCUUUGCAGCAAACCAGAAUAUACAGCUAAAAUUUAAAUGAUGUGGACUGACCGACCAUUAAAUAUUCAGAUAAAAAAUAACGGCUCUUGUUAUCUAUUAUAAAAUGCAGGCUUAUAAAAGAAACAAGUUUAACAAUAAAUAAACAAAACACAAACACAAAACCAGAUAUGGUAUAUAACAGUGUACAUGUAUGCUUGAAACAACUCAAGUUAGAGAAGACAAAACAUUACAAAGAAUUAAAGGACCACUCUAGGCACCCAGACCACUUCAGCUUAAUGAAGUGGUCUGGGUGCCAGGUCCAGCUAGGAUUAACCCAUUCUUUUAUAAACAUAAACUUUUAUGAAUGGGUUAAGCCUUCCCCCAAAGCCUCUAGCGGCUGUCUCAUUGACAGCCGCUAGAGGCGCUUGCGUGCUUCUCACUGUGAUUUUCACAGUGAGAGCAUGCCAGCAUCCAUAGGAAAGCAUUGUAAAUGCUCUUGCCGUGCGUGCGCAUUCAGCCGACGGGGAGGAUCGGAGGAGGAGAGCUCCCCGCCCAGCGCUGGAAAAAGGUAAGUUUUUACCGCUUUCCCCCUUCCAGAGCAUGUUUUCCUGGCACUAUAGUGGUCCUUUAAGAAAUUUUAAUCAAUAUAUAAAUAUGCACAAGAUCAGAAGUUAUCUUUGCCAAGCAUGUUUAAAUUACAAAUAAAUAACCUAACACUUGCCAGUGCUUACUUCCAAAAAUUAAAUGGUUUUACAGAAGAUUAAUACACUUUGUAUUAGCCAAUUUAUUAAAAAUAAUAAAAAUUGUCCCUUUUUGCAUAAACACAUUUUAACUGUAAAAAAAAUGUAAUGCAUAAAAAACAAACUACAAAACUGACCAGUAUCAUUCAAUAUAAGUUUGUAUAAAGUUGCUAAGUGAGAAGACAGCAAAGACAGCUUGAUAAUGUACUAGUGUGCAAAUCUGCAGCAUAUAUAAAUGUUUAUUUAUAGGUUUUAAUGAUAUAUGCAUUAUUUGAAAGCAGAGAGCAAAAAAAAAAAGUCCACUAGAUUUAAACAAAGGUGGGAAAAAUUAAGACUCACAGUAUGUAGUUAAUGUUUUAGAAACUGACUAAAAUAAAACUGUAUCCAAAUAUACAAAAAAAAUAAAAAACCCAACGUAAAGAUAAUGGCUAUAACAGUUCAUGCACCUUUUGGUAAUAGACUGGAAGUAGAGAAAAAGCAGAAUGUUCCCUCCCAGACAAGCAAAGGACUCUGGCAAUUAGGAAACUCUUAUUCUGGCCUAGGCAGCGAGAUUUUAUCCCAUACGCCACUGUACAGCAGGGGUUUAUGAGAUGAGUAGUUCAGUAAACAGCUGUACUUCCAAUCAUGCCAGAGGAUUAGUGGAACUGCUGAGCUGAAGAAGCACAGUUUAUGUUUGUGAACAUAUCAGGAUUAUGCAGACUACCUGUCUACUAGACAUUACAGGGUUAUUUACUAAAGUGAGACUUCAAAGUAAAUUUCCAAUUUAAGGCCAAAUUAGAAACAUUCUCUAAUCAGCUAUGCUUUCAGUUUGCCUCCUCUGGCCUUACAUUUGAAAUUCACUUUGAAUUCUCACUCGAGUAAAUAACCCUGUGUUUGUUCUACAUGUUAACUAACACCUGUCCUCAUCUUAUUUCUUUCUUAUUUGGAUAUACUGGGUGUUAUACAUUUUAAAUUAUCUUUUGUCAUUAGGUUUUUUCAAUUGAUGUUUUUUUUUUUUCUUUUUUCUUGGAUCCGCACGAUGAUUGUUUUGUCCAACACAGAAUUAUUGAGGCGAUAUUUUACUGUGCUACAGUCUCUCUUUAAAUGUUUAUGGUUGUAGAAGAAUUUGCUGAGUGGAAGUUUUAUUUCAGGCACCAAAUCAUUAUUUAAAGAAUAACCCCCACAAUAUAUAAUUUAAUAUAGAAACCUUCAAAUUGCAGACAAUUCAUUUCUUUCAACUCUGGUAAAUGUGGUUCCAAUAUUUACUGGAGUGAGAUGUAAUGGAGGUAACAAUUAAACACAUAGUUUAACCACUGACCGUUCCCCUUUCUCUGCGAUGCCCAAGUGGGCACAACAUCUUUAUAUUUACUAGGGCAUUUCUCCCUUAAAGCUGUAUGCAUGUAAGCCUCCUCAAGGGUCUCUGUGCAAAGACGUGCGGGAUUGAUUUAAUGUACACUUUUGCAUGUCUGUCAUAUAAUUACAAAUACAAUCUAAAAACAAACGAUCCAACUCACAGUUAACUUUUAACCAACUAAUUGGUUGAAAAAUAUUUUUGAUGGUG
rnacentral:lncRNA from 1 species